rnacentral:rRNA from 1 species
GACGAACGCUGGCGGCGUGCCUAAUACAUGCAAGUAGAACGCUGAAGGAGGAGCUUGCUUCUCCGGAUGAGUUGCGAACGGGUGAGUAACGCGUAGGUAACCUGCCUGGUAGCGGGGGAUAACUAUUGGAAACGAUAGCUAAUACCGCAUAAGAGUAGAUGUUGCAUGACAUUUGCUUAAAAGGUGCAAUUGCAUCACUACCAGAUGGACCUGCGCUGUAUUAGCUAGUUGGUGGGGUAACGGCUCACCAAGGCGACGAUACAUAGCCGACCUGAGAGGGUGAUCGGCCACACUGGGACUGAGACACGGCCCAGACUCCUACGGGAGGCAGCAGUAGGGAAUCUUCGGCAAUGGACGGAAGUCUGACCGAGCAACGCCGCGUGAGUGAAGAAGGUUUUCGGAUCGUAAAGCUCUGUUGUAAGAGAAGAACGAGUGUGAGAGUGGAAAGUUCACACUGUGACGGAAUCUUACCAGAAAGGGACGGCUAACUGCGUGCCAGCAGCCGCGGUAAUACGUAGGUCCCGAGCGUUGUCCGGAUUUAUUGGGCGUAAAGCGAGCGCAGGCGGUUAGAUAACUCUGAAGUUAAAGGCUGUGGCUUAACCAUAGUACGCUUUUGGAAACUGUUUAACUUGAGUGCAAGAGGGGAGAGCGGAAUUCCAUGUGUAGCGGUGCAAUGCGUAAAUAUAUGGAGGAACACCGGUGCCGAAAACUGU